UACGUAGGGUGCGAGCGUUGUCCGGAAUUAUUGGGCGUAAAGAGCUUGUAGGCGGUUUGUCGCGUCUGCUGUGAAAAUCCGGGGCUCAACCCCGGACUUGCAGUGGGUACGGGCAGACUAGAGUGUGGUAGGGGAGACUGGAAUUCCUGGUGUAGCGGUGAAAUGCGCAGAUAUCGGGAGGAACACCUGAGGCGAAGGCGGGUUACUGGGCUGAUACUGACGCUGAUGCGCGAAAGCCAGGGGAGCAAACGGG
rnacentral:rRNA from 1 species